GAUCACUUUCGUUACUGGUUGGUUUUUCCUUCCAUUUUUAUUUAUUUCUGUCCGUAGUCUAAGGUGACCGUUGGUUUUUUAAAUUGAGGCGCCUAACGGUACAGUUUUAAGCUUCGCGCUUGUGCGCUCGAGUUCGAAUUUCCCACCCUUCCCUCCUCGUGACGUUUUUCAUACCUUUUGAAUUUGGCGCGCUGAGCGGCCAUGCCUGAUUCUCAUAUUGGAGAUUUGGCGCGAGAAGCGGCCAUGACAGUUUGCCAUACUGGCUCUUUUGGCGCGCGGCGCCACGGGAACGUUCUGGGAAGCAGUGAGAGCGGUGACAGUCAGUUUCCGGUCUGCGAUUCCGUGGAGAGAACAUGUAGUGGAGAGCAAGUGAUUUUAUCUGAGAUCAUCCGUGAUAUUAUUUUAUCUGGGACUUAUCCGUCUUCAGUUUUGGAAUCAGCAAUGCUUUAUUUUGGAUUGGAGAGAUGUUCGGUGUUGAUCUGUUUGCUCCGAGUUCCUUUUUAUUAGUGAUUUGUUCACUUUAUUUUAUUGCUUGGAGCUCUGGUUUUGGACCCGAUGUCACUGUGGCGCUCCGCAUGGAUCCCAGUGCUUGAUUAUAACACCUGAUCGGGUCCUUGGUUAUGAUAUAACCUGUAUUUGUUUAUGGUGAUGUUCGAGGUUAUGCUCUCUACCUUGACAUGUGUUCAUGUUUGACUUCUGAUUUUAACCUUAUGGCUCUGCCUGCUAUGAUUCGUCUCGUCUCAUGUGACGUUGUUUCUCUCAAGAGCCUUGAGGAUUUUCUCGUUGUUUUGCGAGUUUAGAACCCGUUUGUUUGGUUCUGUGUUGUUGAGUCAACAUGUUUAGUGUUUGUUAGUAUUUAAUCAUUCUGAAUACUCUAGUUUUACUAGAACACCUAUGCUUACUUCUGGUUCACAUUUGAGCCGAGUUUUGAGUUGAGAUUUUGAGAGAUUGAGUAAGGAACUUGUUUGUUCUUGAGUUUGUUGUUGGCUGUGUUUAGAGCCUUGUUAUAGAGAUUAUAUGGAGCGAGUUUUGCUCUAGUUAGAGGCUGGUCCUCUGGUUUUUAAUUUAAGUAUUUGUAUGGCUUUUGGCCUCUGUUUUUUGAAGUUGUGAACUUGUGGUUCAUAUUUUAGUUUUAGUGUUUGAACUUUGUGUUUUGAGGUUCUUCUGGAGUCAGUAUUUGUAUUCCUACAUUGUGUGAAAUUGUUGCCAUUGCAUUAUUAAAGCCACUUGUUAUUGUUUAACCAUUUAAGAUCUACUAGUAGCCUGUUCCUUUGACGGUGACUUGUCACCUGGCGCCCAUAUUUCUUUUGAGGACUUUAAAGUCAAAGCGUACCCUCCCAACCUACCACCUGGCUUGCCGGAGCGGUUAACAAUAACUUAACUUUAGUUUUCUGGGCUUUACUUAUUUUUGAGGCUACACUUCUUGCAUUUCUUGUCUUUCACCGUGUCUUACACCUUGUCUUUCGCCUUCAUAGGCUUUUGCUACACUUUAUAGUAGUCAGAGCAUCUGUUAUCGUUUGAAGCCCUAGCUUGAGUAGGAGGAGGCAACAUGCCCCCUUUCUCCUCUUCCUCCGAGCUGCUACUGAUUGCCAAAAA